GGAGACAACUCGGGGGAUAUCCCUGCCAGGGCCUGCAGGAGGCCCUGGAAGAGGAAGAGGCCGCUCUGCAGUUGGCUCAGGCAACCUGUCUGGAGAGCAGAGUAGGAGAGCCACUCACCAGCUGCAGGCCCUGGCUGGAGCAGUUGCUUAGGGGAGCCUGAGGAAUGCCCAGAGAGUGGCCCAGCAGCGCCAGCUCCUCAGGAUGGCACAGCUGCCCCACCCAGGCCUAAACUGCCCCCAGGGUAUUUGAACAGAACUUCAUCAGGAGGCUGUGCGCUGGUCAGAGCCCUGG